GGAUUUAUUGGGCGUAAAGCGUGUGUAGGGGGUUUGAUAAGUCGGUGGUUAAAUCUUAAGGCCUAACCUUAAGCUCGCCUCCGAUACUGUCAAACUAGAGGGCAUUAGAGGCUAGCGGAACGCACGGUGUAGGGGUGAAAUCCGUUGAUAUCGUGCGGAACACCAGAGGCGAAGGCGGCUAGCUGGGACGUCCCUGACCCUGAGACACGAAAGCGUGGGGAGCAAAAAGGAUUAGAUACCCUUGUAGUCCACGCCCUAAACUAUGCCUGCUAGCUGUUUUGAGUAUCGACCCUCAAAGUGGCGAAGCUAACGCGUUAAGCAGGCCGCC
rnacentral:ncRNA from 1 species